rnacentral:rRNA from 1 species
GAUGAACGCUGGCGGCGUGCCUAAUACAUGCAAGUCGAGCGAACAGACGAGGAGCUUGCUCCUCUGACGUUAGCGGCGGACGGGUGAGUAACACGUGGAUAACCUACCUAUAAGACUGGGAUAACUUCGGGAAACCGGAGCUAAUACCGGAUGAUAUUUUGAACCGCAUGGUUCAAUAGUGAAAGACGGUUUUGCUGUCACUUAUAGAUGGAUCCGCGCCGCAUUAGCUAGUUGGUAAGGUAACGGCUUACCAAGGCGACGAUGCGUAGCCGACCUGAGAGGGGGAUCGGCCAGACUGGAACGGAGACACGGUCCAGGCACCUACGGGAGGCAGCAGGAGGGAAGCUUCCGUAAUGGGCGAGAGCCUGACGGAGCAACGCCGCGUGAGUGAUGAAGGUCUGCGGAUCGUAAAGCUCUGUUAUUAGGGAAGAACAAAUGUGUAAGUAACUAUGCACGUCUUGACGGUACCUAAUCAGAAAGCCACGGCUAACUACGUG